UUGGGCUGUCAUGUGCAGCUCGUCAGAGGGAAGAGGCAGCUGAGGGGCCAGGAGCUCAAUGGCGGCUUCAAUUCCAGCCAGCCUACCUGGCUGUGGCCCAUAGAGAGCCCUGACCCUCGGGGUCUCAGCCCCCCACGCACACUCAUUUUACAGACACGGGAGGCGAAGGAAUGCACUCAGGUAGCUUCGGCCCGGGAGAGAAGAGGUUAGGAGGGCUCUGAACAGGUGGACGCUGGGGCUGCUCGCUGGGUGACAGGUGCGCCCUGCAUCCCCACCCACUCUGAGCUGCUGUGUGGCCCCUCAGUGUUUUCAGAGAAACCCAAACCCCAGGGCAGCCCCUCCCUGCACACUGGGCCACACAGCCCACCUCCUGCCUGUCCACGGGACCCCCGGUCAGAUUUUCCAGGAGCAGAGCAGAGUGGAGCAUACCAGCCACAGGGGGAAGAGCUGCUGGGCCACAAGACGGGCUGAAGCCCCCACCUCUGAGGGCGCUGAGUGUCCUGCACCCCACAGUGCAGCAGCCCAGGACACGACUCUGUACCGGCUGGAGCUCGUUGUCUGGACGCUCUUGGGCUCCAUCCUGCUCGGCCAUCAGUGUUGUCGUCCCCCUCAUCGACGCUGUCUCUGCUGUCUCCGCCAUCUCUGCUGUGUCCGCCGUGUCUGCUGUUGCUGCUGUCUCUGCCUAGCUGAAAUCAAUGCAUCUGCUCAGCUGCUUCACCACUUGAGUUAUUUACAGCUUUGAUCUAAGUGAGCUUUACAUUUUAAGUAAAUCUUCAAAGUUUUACGAAA
rnacentral:lncRNA from 1 species